CAGUAGCCGCGGUAAUACGUAGGGUGCGAGCGUUAAUCGGAAUUACUGGGCGUAAAGCGAGCGCAGACGGUUACUUAAGCAGGAUGUGAAAUCCCCGGGCUCAACCUGGGAACUGCGUUCUGAACUGGGUGACUAGGGUGUGUCAGAGGGAGGUAGAAUUCCACGUGUAGCAGUGAAAUGCGUAGAGAUGUGGAGGAAUACCGAUGGCGAAGGCAGCCUCCUGGGAUAACACUGACGUUCAUGCUCGAAAGCGUGGGUAGCAAACAGGAUUAGAUACCCCUGUAGUCCCUGUCUCUUAUAC
rnacentral:rRNA from 1 species